rnacentral:sRNA from 1 species
AAACAAAUACUACUAACUAUUCCGAACUCAAAGAGGAGUUGAUCAAGAUGGGAACAAUUGUAUGCCAAGAUUGCAAUUCAACGAUUGAUCAUUUUGAAGAUGAAAAAGUAACUGUACUUUAUUCAAAGUGCUCCUGCAAUAAAUGCCAUUCUCACGAUGAGGAUCUUUAAAAAUCAACUAUUUUUCAAUAUAAAAACAGGAUUCCAUUUGGAAUCCUGUUUUUAUAU